GGAAACCAGCCUAAUUUCAUGAUUUGUCAUGGGUGGUCCCAGGGUAAACAUUGUAAAGGCAUUUGGAGGGCAGCUUGUAGAGUGCAAUGAGUUGGAAAUUUAUCCUGUAAAUCCCUGGAGGUUUUUGUCUGGUGAGGCAUCUGAGGCAGUUAGCUGGAGUUACGUGCCCCGCGCAAGGUCAUUCAAUGACGGUGUGACCAAAGAGGGAUUAGGAUUCACGGUCACAGUGCCUAGAAUUCCUGUGCGUGACUAGACUUUGCUACGUGAUGUUACUUGGGAGGCAACAGUAACUAUUGUGGUAACAAUAUCUCCAGAGAACAAGGGGAGAGGACAAUGGUAGAGUCGGACUCAUCACCUCAUAGAAUGGUACAACUGAAAGCAAUCUCCAGGACUGUCUGGUCCAACACUGUCAUUGUACAGAGAAGGAAAUUGACAUCCGUAGAGAUAUAGCCAAGGUCACAUGGCCAACGAGUGGCAGAACAGAGAUGAAGACUUCUGACUUAUGAUGUUUGCCUUCCUGCUUUUUCCUUUUAUUAGUUCUGCUGAAUGUAUUACAUUCUUCCUAGAAUUUUAUGACAUAAGAACUGCAGACAUUUGGCAACGUUGUAAAGUAGACUGCAUUCUCUUCUUAGACCCAUGGCUUAAAUUUCAUUUAUUCUACUGUCUAUAUUUAUCAGAACUUCCUGUAUUUCUUUCAAAUUCCUAUCAGAUAUGCUAGGUCAGUGCUUAAUUUCAUGGCUGGCUUAUUAAGCCAUCUUUGUGAAGUAUGUCUAUACUGUAAAGAGACUGAUGCUUUUGUGGCUCUUAGAAACCAAUGUUAUUACUUUAUAUUGAAAUAGUACAUAUGAAAAUUGGGGAACUAUUCCUCAUGACUGAACUAUCACUAUAGAAUAUCAAUUACAUGAUAAGAAUUGAUCUUGGCACAGCACACGUGAUGUAUCAUUUUUAUCUUUAUAAAAAAAACUGAGGAAGUCCAUGCUACAAUGGCAGUUUUAUAGAUGACAGUGGAAAUCAAGGUCACACAGCUAAAAGUUGUAUAGAAUUAGAGGUCGCUAGAAUUAGAAUCCCGGUCCAUUUGAAUCUAGAACCCUUAAUGGAUUCUAGAGAAUUCAAGAGAGAAUGAGAAUUCGGACAGGUUUAGAGAUCCACAGAAAUACUUUGGAGCCUAAGGCACAGACCACAGAGGACAAUGUGGGGAGUGGAGUCAUUUGGUUCACCUGCAAAAGUAGUGAGAUCCCUGAAUUCUAGGAAAAGCAAUCACCAGAAAUCAGGAGCUGUCAUCAUGAUCAGUGGUGUUAUUCCAGUGGCUCGACAUUGAGGAAUCAGGAGUGCGGGGCUCUACUUUUUCACUUCCUGUACAGAUCUCCAUUCCUACUUUUUUCGGUUCAACAGUAUCACACAAUUUACAAUCUACUUACAGCCUGCACAGAGAAAAGAAAAAGAAAGGCAACGACCAAGAAAAGAAUUUCUGCAGCCCACUGUACCUUUUGAUAGUACUACAGGCAACCAGCAAAUUCCUAUCAGCUCUGCAGUUGCCUAUUGUCAGCUUAGAAUCUUUAGUUUGCCAUUUUAGAAAGCAGUCUACGUUGUAGCUGUGGAUUUUCUGACACAAAUGAUAUAAAAUGAGACAAAGGCAAACACCACUCACUUCCCACCCACAGGAGAGAAUUUGUGUUGUGAAUUAUUUACUGUAUCUGAUUUUCUUUCACUGCAGAUACUUUCAUAGCAGGUGUACGAGAUUUCAAAGGCUGAAUCAAAUCUCACUGUGUUUCACAGCUACUUCUACUUAUUAACUCAUACAUGUAUUCCUAAGCCUCGAGCAUAUUAUAGAAUUAUGGUUCACGCUUAUCCACACUUGUUGCCAAAUUAACUGGAAACCCAGACUUUGGGCCUGUUUUAUUACCCCAGACUCCUAGCUGGUCUCCGAGAUGGUAUUCCCUUUGCAAUUUAUCUUGCACGUAUUAUGGAUGACUUGCUGAUGCGGGUCAAUGGGUUUUAGAUACAGUAUAACAAAUCUUGAGACCAGAGUGUUGAAAGGAUUGCAUUUACUCUCAAUUACUGCACAUGAAAUACUGUACAUAAUGAAAACGUUUUCAUUCUUUCCAGCAA